UAUUCAUUAGAUUUGCAUUCUCUAUCCUCGUAGUCUUAUCCAUUUCGAUGGCGAUGGCGAUGGUGAUGGCGAUGGCGACGGCGACGGCGACGGCUACGGGUUUCUCUGGCGACGGCGGCGGCGACGGGUUGAGGGCUGCGGGGAUGCCGCGGCGAGGAGGGGCAGGUGCUGCGGAGGCGACACAGUGAGGUGGGGCAGUGGCGGUUGUGCGGCAAGGCAGGGCAGGUCCGGCCGAGACGGCGCGCGGCGAGGCGGGGGAGUGGCGUCGCGGGGGAGGAUGGAGGACGCCAGAGUAGAGGACGACAGCUCCCGCCGUCGCUGCUGUCCGCGCACACCCGCGUGCUCGCCUCCGUCCGCGCCCACGCCAGAGCGCUGCUUUCUGUGCACGCCCGCGUGCUCGCCCUUCAGCUUGCCUCUGCCCGCACCUCACCACCCGCGCGCCGGCCAGCCCAGCCACCGGGAACGCCCCCUUCCUCCUACCCCCGAUCUAGAUUUCCCAAAACGCCUCCCCAGACACCCGCAGGGCGCCCCGUCGAUCCAGCUUCGGCUCCACAGCUGGCCAGCGCCGCACUACUGCCAAGGACGGUGCGGACACGCCGGCGGCGAGCACUUACCAGCUAUUACUGGUAUUUCUCAAUGUGCAAGCUGAAAUCACAUUGUGAAGUGGUCAAGCGCCCUCUUGCCGGUGGACUGCUGGUCAUCAAUGCAGCACGUCGGGCUCCCGCAGCCACAACAGAGGAGCUGGAACUUGCAGCAGCAUCUACGACACCCUCUCCACGAGCUGAAGGUAGGCCAGGUCAUAGAUGAGGACCCGGCGACGACCACCGAGGCUCAUCUGCCUCGGAUCCGUCUCCCUGUUGUUCCUGUGCUUCUCCCUCUAUAGACACACAUUGUCGAGCCGGUGAUUGGAGAAGGAUGGGGAGGCGAUGGAUAUGGAUACGGAGUCAGUGGAUGAAGAUGAUGUCAUGGCUGGGCUGAUUUCUAUUCAUCGUGUACCGCCACCUGCUCGCGUUUCUGUCUCUCGCCUAGAACCAUCAGCUAGAGGACAUGUAUUGUGCUGCUACCGGGGCCUUGACCUCAUAUUUAUCGGGCAUCUAAUUUGUUGCAAUUUGUCUCAACUAAACCCCACAUCUCACAUCUGUCUUUAGGUUUGCCCCCGUACUCCAACUGCAAGUGAGCAGCUUACUUGUGCAGAAGAAAAAGAAAGAGAAACCAUCUCCCAAGGGACACUCCCAGUUCAAGAUGAGCAUGAAGCUGAUAUACUAAACUACCAUCUCAAGAUACUCCCUCUGUUAACAUACUGAAUGUUGUUAAUGAUAAGGCAGUAAUUGAAGUUCCUCCUUGACGAACUAGCAAGAUAGUAGCACAGUUUCUCCAGUGUAAUCAAGCCCAACAACGGCUGAUGCACAAAAGGAUGAGUUUGUCUUGAACUUGUUAUAUACCACUGAUUUAUCAUCAUGUUUUUCAUGUUGAUUUUUUUAUCAAAGUACUUCUAUUUUUUCAUUCCAAAUUAUCACUGGACAGAUUCUAUAGGCUUAACAAGGAUUAUUAUGAUAAGCUUUUAUGGAUUAUAUACACUGUAGAGGUUAUUCCAAAUGAUUUACACGGAAGAAAUUCAUAGAACCACAGUCCAAUUUAAAGGCAAUGUGUAGUGCAAAGGAAACUUAAAAUGCAUCAUUGCCCUGUUCUUUUAUAUAUGUGUCUGGACUCUACUCAAGCAGCCAAUCCUGACGAGUUAUCGACACGGCAAUAGAUGUACUCAUGUACGCGGCCCCAGGGAUGGUAUUGCUCUCUCCAAUGCCCAGACAGGCAAAGGGCAUUUUAAGGUCAAGUACCUUUAUUUAGGUCGUGGUCUGAGCAUACACUGGAUGAUGCACCCUUACAAAAAUCUGGUUACUCUUCCACUUUCAGAUUCAUUAGCAAACUUUUCAUGAAAAUAUGGAUAUUAUAUAUGUAAAGAUACACUUUUUACUUGACAAACGAAAUCAUAUAUGUUCAGACUAAAUUUCUGAUGACCUUUUUCCAUGAUGCCCUGAAUUUUGGUGAUGAGAAUGUCUGGUCAUACUAAUGUGUCGAGCAAAGAAAGUUACCUUUUAAUGUUUAAGUGUAUUUCCCCAUAAUAAAAACAUGUUCAUUCAUGAGUUAUUUCUUGAUUUAGUGUUUCAAAAUCUAAGUUCGCUGAGUAGCCAGAAAUGAUUGAAGCACUAGCUAGCUUCCAUACUCACUACUCCCGUGGUAUGUUUUUAUGAUGUUCGAUUCAUAUUUAUAUUGAUAUGCUGAAUUCAUCCACCAGAACCUAAAUAUGACAUGUCCCUAGAUCUUUAUUUGAACUGAUUUCUUAUAUGAGUACAUGUUACAAUUACUUAAUUAUCUAGCUUCUAGCUACACUUCCAUUACUAUCUUUUGUAGGCAGCUAGAAAAUGAACAUCCACGAUGAUGAGAUCAUAGAAGAAAUGAACCUGCUCAUCUUGACGAGUAAUCGGCACGGCAAUAGCUAUAACCGUGGCAGCGUCCCCCAGGUAGGAUAUUGCUCUCUCCAACGCCCAUAGUGAUGAAGGUGCAUUUUAACACCAAGUAGUUUUAUUCACAUCCUGGUUAAUCAAUACAGUAACAUUCAAUCAUGUAAAGUUCUAGGAAAUUGGGUUGACAGCUUUGUUUAACACUUAAAUUGUUUAGUCUGAUAAAAUCACGCCUCACGCACAAGUUAACUCUUUUGCCUCUUGAAUUUAUAAUCCUGUCAGUCUGUUUCAGGUGAAGUGGUGCUUGCUUUAUUGCUGGGAAUAAUUAAGCUUAUUGCAUCUACAAGUGGGACAACAUACAAGUUUAUGCUUAAACUUGACAAUUUUGUUUGUAUUUUUCCUUCCGUUGCAAUGCACGGGCAUUUUUGCUAUAAUAAUAGAGAGCUAUUGCUUCUUACCACCAUAAUUUCGUCCGUUUUCGGUCCAUCCGUCGUCCGUCCACUUAUUAUUUUCUAUAUCCGAGAUGGUACUAAUCUAUCUGAGCCACUUUCGUCCGUACGUAAACAAAAGCUUCAUUUGUUUGUUCCCUGCCGUGCAGGAUGUGUAUUAGGCCUGCCCUACACUCUUUUGGGCCUCAGCCACGGCCAAUCUAGCACUCUUCCAAUCUCAAAAAUACUAACACGUCAAGCUUCACCAAGGCCCAAGUGGGCUCCUAAUCAGCCUUUUCAUGUUAAUUUAUUCAUUAAAAAGAUAGUCCCACAUCGCUUUGUAACAAUAAAUCCCACCAGUUUAAAUAUGUGAGCAAGUUGCCUAAGAACAAGCCUUCUUGGGAGUUAAAUAAUUGGAGGAUGAGGCAUGGAUCUGUUGGAAAAACAAGAGAGGGACGAGCUUUGGCAGUGAGCAACAUAACAUUCAGGAACAGGAUUUCUUGGAAAAUUAAUAAGUGUGAAGGGGAAGAGGCGCAUGCAUCUGACAGAGAAAAGAAAGAGCAAGCUUUCUUGCAAUGGAAGGAGUAAGGAAGGACAUGCAAGAUUAUACAUGAAGUUAAAGGACAGUGCCACUGAUCGUGCCACCUCACCUAUAUACCAAGAGGUUUGGGUAAUUCAUUCAUCUUUAAUCUAAUUGGUACUUCAAUAAAGUACAAAAUAGUCCAAUACUCUCUCCAUGAACCAACACCCCAGUUCCUACAUUUUUUUAACGGCUUACGGAUUGACACUAAUCAUGUGCCCGUUUUCCAUGCCGAAGUCACAUGUAAGAAGGCCUCAAGUCCCUCUACUGAAAUCUAAGCUCAAUCACAGGUUUUCCCUUUCCUUCAAGUUGUCAUCUUAUUUCAGGAUUGACAUCACUAAUAAUGAGGAGGGUUUUUUCCAUUCAAUCAAAUUAUAAUGCCGGCCGGGGAGGUCCUCCAUGAGCGCUACUGAGCCGACAUCGACUACUGCGACAAGAACGGGGUGAGAUGAUACAACCACCUUGUAAAAAGUGCAGUUACUAAAUUAUUUAUGCCAACAAAAACACUGCAGCUGUUAAGCAAGACAGGAAAAGGUUAUCUGCAUCCUUCAGCGCAAUUGGUUACUGCAAGAAGUGCAGUGUUUGUUUGAUGAGAUAGAAAUCUGAAAUCACAUAUGGUUCUGCAGAUGCAGUAGCAACUUAUAUUUCAGUUGUGCAUAUGAUAGCAUGAUCAACUCCCCCACCCCCAAGCUGAUUUGAUUCUAUUUGGAUCAAUGGACUCACAAAAAGGGCAUCUUCUAAAAUUGUUACGAUGCAACCAUUUUUUCAGCUGGGCUUUGCAGUUAUCUCAUUUUCUAUCUUUUCUUGGUUAGUUCUGGUACCCUCCUUCAAAGACACCGGCUGAGAAGGCAGCAUGGAAGUUUGCAGAGGAAAAUGGAUUGGAUGUGGUUGUGGUCAAUCCAGGGACAGUUUUGGCCCCGAUGAUUCCGCCAAGGAUCAAUGCUAGCAUGGCCAUGUUUCUUCGCUUAAUCUUGACAAUGCUCUGGUCAUAGUUUAAGAUAUUUUUCAUAAUUUUCCAGAUAAAGAAAUUUCUGUAGUACUACUCUUUAAUCAUUAUUAGUCCCUCUAGAAUGUUUGCUGAUAGGAUAGCAAUAAUAUCAUGAGUAGCAGACUGAAGCAGGGGAAAUUCAUGAACUUGUGCAAACUGAACACAUUCUUUUCCCGAUGAAACCUUCAUAUAACAUCUAAAUUCAUAAGCUUAAGAAUCAGAAAACGAAUGAGCCAUUGGGUUAAGGAUUUGUUGUUUUUCCCGUUGCAACGCACGGGCAUUUGUGCUAGUUAUUAUAUCUUUCCCUACUAAUAAACCAGCGAUCGCUUCUGGUCGUACGUCGUUGGUCGUUUUGCAAAAAAGUCCCCCUGUUUCUUAGAAAUUAACCCGCGCUCCUACUUAAAUCUGGAUAACGUUUCGUCUUUUUGCAUAAAACACCCUGCCUCCACUGAAUCGCCGUGCACGCCCCGCCGCUCGCUGCCGGCGCUGACUCCGCAGAGGCCAAGGCAGGGGAUGCGUCGCGGCGGGCGUAUGCGCCGCCCGGGCCGAGGAAUGGGGCGAGGCGUCGCGGCUGCCGUUGUAGAGCGCGGCGUACCGAGGCGUCGCGGCGGCCGUUGAAGGGCGCGGCGGACCGAGGCGUCGCCGCGGAGGAUGAUAAGGCGGCCGGCGUGCUCUCUUGGGGCGAGGCGUCGCGGCGCGGCAGCGGCACGCGAGGGCGUUGUGGAGCGCGCUGCGGCGGGGCGGCUUCAGGCCGUAUUGGCUGAACUGGACUGCGGGCGCUACCGCAACGGCGAACUGGAGGAGAGGCUCCGGCAGUGAGCCACGAGGUCGUCGCCGCCGGCCUCCGCGCCACGCUGUACCAGCUGCUGCAGCCCACCUGUGAAGUUGCUUUGGGACGCCUGUGUUCUGCCAUUCUGGUGCUCCAUUGCCGGUAGCUGUCCCUGUGCGGUGCGUGCGAACCCGCCGUGGCGACCUGCCCCGUGUGCGCGGCACCAAGUACGCCUCAUUCCAUGUCAAGCCAUGCCGACGACGGUGGACGUGCGUCGCGCUGUGCUCGCGCGCGAGACCGUGCCUAAUUUGGAAAGAUUGCAGACCGUGUCCUUGUCGAACGAAAUUCACCGUGUCCUUGUCGAACAAAAUUCAAUGGAGUGUCCAGUCCGGAUUGUUGCUUUCUGCUAUAUAAGAGGACGGAAGAGUAGUCGGCCAGAAUCUCCAUCAGAUCAAUUUUGGACGAAACAUCCAAUGUCUUCGCCAAGUUCGCCGGAGGAAGAAGCGUCGAGUUUGCCGGAGGAACAACAACAUCCGUCGAGCACUCCAAUGUCGCCUGCGGCGGCUACACCAGAGAAAACAGAUGACAUCGCUGAACUGAAGAUUACAGAGGAUUUGGAUAACCGACCUUCAAAAAAAGCAAAAAUUGCGGAAUUAGGUGUUCUGGAGCCAUCACCAAUGUCGCCAACUAUAUCAGCAUCUACACCAAUUUCUGGAUGUUUUGAAUCCAUUGUGCUGGAAUCAGAUAUUCAGAUAGAUCAUGAUCCAUUGCCAUCUCCUCCAUCCCCAUCUAGCUCAACAUUUUCUCCUGUUUUCUCAUUACAUGAUGUCAAAGGAACUAGAUUCAAAUAAAGAGAUCAAAGUUGAUGAGACAUAUGAUUAUCUCCCACAAGAAUAUGAAUUAACCGACCAUGAUCUAUGUGCACAUAUAGCAAUAGAAUCAUCUUUAAGUAAAGAAUUGCUGGUUCAGAUAGAUGGAAGUUCUGUGAGACAAAAUCAAUUGAUGUGUCUGCUAGAUAAAAAUGAGUGGGUAAAUGAUGAUGUGAUCUAUGCAUAUAUAUGUUGUUUAAAGGACCAAAUUCAUGUACAGAAUGACAAUAAAGUAUAUUUUGAGAGUCCUUUUGUUACCUCACUAUUAAAACGGGAUGGUAACCUCGGCAUACAAGAAGAUAGUUCCUUUAUGACAAAGAUUGUCAAAAAAUAUAUGGAGCAUGACAUGGUAAUAUACAUAUCCGUAACUUUCUUGAUUAUGUUUCAUUCAUUUUUAUUUUUUCCCUAAUUAUCUUUAUUUUUUCUUGACGAUGGAUUUUUUGAACUCUAAUUAUUGGCUACAUGCGCAACAACGACUCUGAGCUAGCUGCUACCAAUAAAACACCUACACUCUCAAUGCACCAAAAAAAUGGCAAAAUAAAUAAGAAAUGAAAUAUAAUAUUCUAAAAAAUGUCCGUCACCAUAAAAAGGAUUUCAUUUUUAAAAAAAUUCUAGAAAAUCUAAAAACACAUUCUCAGAGUAAAAAGUAAUCGUGUUUUUUUGAACAACAAAAAAAUUGAUUGAAAGAACAUUUCAUACACAACUACUAUUUCAUAGAAUGGAAUCAAAAUGACGAGCUGAAAUAGAUCAUGACAAACAUGGUUAGGGUACAUCCAAAUGUCAAAGUCCAAAAUGAAAUACUACAUGUAACCUUAUUUCCAACCUUUAUACAAUAAUUAAAUUAAAAAAAGUCUUGUAUAGUGGCAUAUGGAGCAGGUUAUAUCUAAAUUUUAGCCCGGUGCAACGCAAGGGCAUUUGUACUAGUAAUAAUAAAGAAAAUUGGGUUUCUCUCGUCCGUCGUCGUUAGCAAUUUUGCAUAAAGGUCCCUCAGUUUGUAAGAAAUUAACCCGCAGUCCCUGUUUUACUGGGUCUCUAUAUAACAUUUCACUUUUACAAAAAUAACCCUGGAAACCCAGCCCGAACCAGACCGCUCUGCCUCCCGCAGCUCCAUCCUGCCCGAGCUCCCCUCGCCCCCGCAAGCCGCCUCGCCGGCGACCCCACACCUCCGCCGCGCCUCACCGCCGGAGCUCCGGCCGCUCCGCCGCCUCGCCCCUCUCCUCCUUCCUCUCGAUCUCCUCUCACCUCUUUCUCUCUUUCUCGCUGAACAGGGACCUCCAGAAGGGCCAUGGCGCCACCAGCCCUUAAUCUCGCCGGAUCCGGCCGCCUGCACGCCAAAUCCGCCGGAAAUGGAUCCGUCCCGUCCAGAUCCGGCCGGAUCCGACCGGGCCCCGCCAUCCUCGUCACUGGAGCACCGCCACGCUCGACCAACAGCGUCGGCGCUGUCUGUCCCUGCCCGCGUCUGCACGAGGACGACGCUCGUCCCGCUCGCUUGCAGCAAUCGCAUGGGCCGCCGCCCCAGCCGUCCCGGCAUCAAGCCAAGGCCCAGCCCAAGCCACAUCUUCUGCCGCUCCAUCAUUGCCCACCUUGAGAUCAGCCCCGACGCCACCACCAUCUUCAGAUGCGUACGCACACUACUUCCUUCUUCAAAUUGCUUCACCACAUCAUGCUGAAUUUGCAAAUGGCCGCUCCUUACAUGUGUGAUCGAGAAGCAAGGUCAAGUAUGAGCAGGCUGUCAGCGUGUAGUGGUCGGAGAUGCCGUCGCAACUUACAUGUCGCAGUCGUCGGCUCCAUGCUAAGAUUACGAGGCUCUAUGGUUGUAUCGUGGUGUUCCAGUAGUAAACUUUCAGGCUGGUUAGAUAGGGGAUGAAGAUGAUGUAUACUACCUAACGGCCAUCGAGUAAUAAAAGGAGAUGGAUUGAACUACAUGAUUUAUGCCAUGGGAAUGAUGAAAAAUCUUUGAGUGAGGAUGUUGAAUAAUUCAGUCCUGAUCAAUGGCUUCUCAUAAAAGUCUUCCUGCCAGCAAGAGAGCCCUUGCAGAUUUACAGCUUUUAGUGUAAUUAUUACAGAGAAGACAUGCUUAGAGGGCCUAUAAUUUUACUAAGUGAACAUGUACUGAUCUCUACAUGCUUUUUAUUAGAGUAUCGCUUUCAUGUUUUACUAAGAUCUGUGUGGAAACAACAUGAGCCUUUGCUGCUUGGUCUGGGAUGGUGAAGUGGUGGUUGCAGUGGAAAUCGUUAAAGGGGGCACCGGUGUCCUCAGUUAUACGGUUACAGAAUAUAUGGAGUCAUGCCCAACGUUGCAAGGGAGCCUGUAGUGGGAGGCGACAAAGUAUUGGCUGUUACCAUAGUAUCCAUAAUGAGUUGUGUCAACACCAACCUCAGAGCUGGAAUAAGGAGUGCGCAUUCGCAUUGAUGAAACAACUUUCCCAUAGCCCGCUGCUACUGCCCACUACCACAAUCUUGCAUAGAUACUUGUGAGUAGGUGAGAACAUCUGUAGGCUAAUAAACAGUACAAACACCAGGCUUAGUUUCGGAGUACAUAUAUUGCAUCGACUGGUAUGAUGUCUGAAUAUAUAUCUGACUAGAGCCAUCAUAUGGACAAAUAAUCUUUGUAGCAGUCUGUUGGAUAAUUAUUGGAGAUGAUGCACUCUGAUGGACAGAUAUAGAAACCCAUUAUUAUUUUCAGUGAGGGCUGAAGUGAAUGAAUCUGGAAGUGCUUUAGUGAUUAAUGCUCUGUCCCAAGUUAAGCAUAUUCUACUUCCGGUCACUGGCCGCAAGCCUUACCUUUCAGUUCUAAUUCCUUGAGAUCACCACAGUUGUGAAUAUAGCCAUUGUUUCAACAGAACAAACCUAAGCUUAGCAUGAAAGAGAGUAUGAAAGUUCUGAUCUCUUCAAAAUAUGUGAGGGGCCUUGCUACCUUAGUUGUUGCAUAUGGCAUUAUGAUCAAUUUUGUGUAAGUCACAUGGAAAUCGAAGCUCAAGGCACAGUUCCCCAGUCCAAACGAGCACUCAUCUUUCAUGGGUGAUUUCUCUACCGCAACUGGACUUGCAACUUUCAUGAUGAUGCUGUUAGGCUGGAUUACAUUCCAAAGAUUUGGUUGGGGGGUGGCUUCCAUUAUCACCCCCAUAGUUUUGUGGUGACUGGCGUUGGUUUCUUCUCUGACUUUCAACAAGUGCAGUUCAUUGCCGCAGAGCAGUCUUAGAAGAUCCGUGCACAUGUAGCCUUAUUUCUUAUUCCAAAUUUCAUCAUACAAAAAAAAUACUCAGUGUAACCUCAUUUCUGAUGUUUGCGAAAAUUAGAUUAUAAAAAUGUUGCAUAAUGGCACAUGAAGCAGGUUACAUUUCA